CCUACGGGUGGCAGCAGUGAGGGAUAUUGGUCAAUGGCCGUAAGGCUGAACCAGCCAAGUCGCGUGAAUGAAGAAGGACCUAUGGUUUGUAAACUUCUUUUAUAGGGGAAUAAAGGUAUCCACGUGUGGAUAUUUGCAUGUACCCUAUGAAUAAGCAUCGGCUAACUCCGUGCCAGCAGCCGCGGUAAUACGGAGGAUGCGAGCGUUAUCCGGAUUUAUUGGGUUUAAAGGGUGCGUAGGUUGUGUUUUAAGUCAGCGGUGAAAGUUCGUGGCUCAACCAUAGAAUUGCCGUUGAAACUGGAAGACUUGAGUGUGGGUGAGGCAGGCGGAAUGCGUGGUGUAGCGGUGAAAUGCAUAGAUAUCACGCAGAACACCGAUUGCGAAGGCAGCCUACUAAGCCACAACUGACGCUGAAGCACGAAAGCGUGGGGAUCAAACAGGAUUAGAUACCCGGGUAGUC
rnacentral:rRNA from 1 species